AGGAUGAACGCUAGCGGGAGGCUUAACACAUGCAAGUCGAGGGGCAGCACGAGGUAGCAAUACUUUGGUGGCGACCGGCGCACGGGUGAGUAACGCGUAUGCAACCUACCCUGUACAGGGGGAUAGCCCGGAGAAAUUCGGAUUAAUACCCCAUAAAGAUAUGAAGAGGCAUCUUUUUAUAUUUAAAGUUUCGACGGUACGGGAUGGGCAUGCGUGACAUUAGCUAGUUGGUAAGGUAACGGCUUACCAAGGCUUCGAUGUCUAGGGGUCCUGAGAGGGUGAUCCCCCACACUGGUACUGAGACACGGAMCCAGACUCCUACGGGAGGCAGCAGUGAGGAAUAUUGGUCAAUGGGCGCAAGCCUGAACCAGCCAUCCCGCGUGCAGGAAGACGGCGCUAUGCGUUGUAAACUGCUUUUCCAGGGAAAGAAAACCCCCGACGUGUCGGGGCUUGCCGGUACCCUGGGAAUAAGCAUCGGCUAACUCCGUGCCAGCAGCCGCGGUAAUACGGAGGAUGCAAGCGUUAUCCGGAUUUAUUGGGUUUAAAGGGUGCGUAGGCGGAUUGAUAAGUCAGUGGUGAAAACCUUCAGCUUAACUGGAGACUUGCCAUUGAUACUGUUAGUCUUGAGUACGGUCAAGGUAGGCGGAAUGUGUAAUGUAGCGGUGAAAUGCUUAGAUAUUACACAGAACACCGAUUGCGAAGGCAGCUUACUGGGCCAUUACUGACGCUGAGGCACGAAAGCGUGGGGAGCGAACAGGAUUAGAUACCCUGGUAGUCCACGCCGUAAACGAUGAUCACUCGCUGUUGGCGAUACAC
rnacentral:rRNA from 1 species